GGUACACUGUCAUGACGCCAGGCGGCACGUCAAGCACUGGUGACCGGUGAGGGGGUGGGUCGAAACGCGGUGUCCCACUGAAGUCGGACACCCUGCCUGCCACGAAUGACAGGUGGCAACAUUAAGACAGAGAAAGCCUCCGUACCCUCUCAGUCAAGGCUACAAAAUAGUACCGGACGAACUGACGGGCCGUUGUAACAGGGGAGCUGAUUCAUCCCAGUGAAUAGCCUAUAGCGGUGUGGAACUACAAAACCCAGAAUACUGAGGGUGAAGUUUGGGCAGUUCUUAGGUGAACUGUGAAGCAUACACUCCAUUUAUGUCAUACAUAUUUAGGAAGAAACAGAAGAAAAUGAAGAAGUAACUAGAAUGUCUCAUCAUGUCCCACCCAAUGAACGUCCAAGAUAAUGUAGAUUCACUUCUCACUUCAGGUAAGUGUUAUUUUGUGGUUU